rnacentral:rRNA from 1 species
CACGUAGGGCGCAAGCGUUGUCCGGAAUUAUUGGGCGUAAAGAGCUCGUAGGCGGUCUGUUGCGUCUGCUGUGAAAACUCGGGGCUUAACCCCGAGCCUGCAGUGGAUACGGGCAGACUAGAGGUAGGUAGGGGAGAAUGGAAUUCCCGGUGUAGCGGUGAAAUGCGCAGAUAUCGGGAGGAACACCGGUGGCGAAGGCGGAUCUCUGGGCCUGAUCUGACGCUGAGGCGCGAAAGCUAGGGGAGCGAACAGG